AAAAAGGGUCGGUUGGCUAAUUAUGCCACACUCGUCCGUGGAGGCGGGUGCUGUAUGGAUAUCAAGACAUAUGGCCGACGCAAUUUCUGGAACUUCAUAGGGUUGGCCCGCUCGGCCGACCCUCCA